rnacentral:rRNA from 1 species
UACGAAGGGGGCUAGCGUUGCUCGGAAUUACUGGGCGUAAAGCGCACGUAGGCGGCUCUUUAAGUCGGGGGUGAAAUCCUGGAGCUCAACUCCAGAACUGCCUUCGAUACUGAAGAGCUCGAGUCCGGGAGAGGUGAGUGGAACUGCGAGUGUAGAGGUGAAAUUCGUAGAUAUUCGCAAGAACACCAGUGGCGAAGGCGGCUCACUGGCCCGGUACUGACGCUGAGGUGCGAAAGCGUGGGAGCA